GCGCACGAUCAUAUCAUGCUGAAAGCACCGGUUCUCGUCCACAGAAGUUAAGCAACGUCGAGCCUAGUGAGUACUUAGAUGGGUGGCCGCUUGGGAAACCUAGGUGCUGGAAGCG
rnacentral:rRNA from 1 species